rnacentral:rRNA from 1 species
AGCGAACGCUGGCGGCAGGCCUAACACAUGCAAGUCGAACGGAUCCUUCGGGAUUAGUGGCGGACGGGUGAGUAACACGUGGGAACGUGCCCUUUGGUUCGGAACCACUCAGGGAAACUUGAGCUAAUACCGGAUGUGCCCUUCGGGGGAAAGAUUUAUCGCCAUUGGAGCGGCCCGCGUCUGAUUAGCUAGUUGGUGAGGUAACGGCCCACCAAGGCGACGAUCAGUAGCUGGUCUGAGAGGAUGAUCAGCCACACUGGGACUGAGACACGGCCCAGACUCCUACGGGAGGCAGCAGUGGGGAAUCUUGCGCAAUGGGCGAAAGCCUGACGCAGCCAUGCCGCGUGAAUGAUGAAGGUCUUAGGAUUGUAAAAUUCUUUCAGCGGGGACGAUAAUGACGGUACCCGCAGAAGAAGCGCCGGCUAACUUCGUG